rnacentral:piRNA from 1 species
UGAAUCUAGCCUGGGAGACAUAGUGA